rnacentral:rRNA from 1 species
AGUUGCCAUCGGUGAGGCCGGGCACUCUGGAUGGACUGCCGGCGACAAGCCGGAGGAAGGUGGGGACGACGUCAAGUCAUCAUGGCCCUUAUGUCCAGGGCGACACACGUGCUACAAUGGCCGGCACAGCGGGAAGCGAAGGGGCGACUCUGAGCGGAUCCCUUAAAGCCGGUCCCAGUUCGGAUUGCAGUCUGCAACUCGACUGCAUGAAGUUGGAAUCGCUAGUAAUCGUGGAUCAGCCAAGCCGCGGUGAAUACGUUCCCGGGCCUU